rnacentral:rRNA from 1 species
AUUGAACGCUGGCGGCAUGCCUUACACAUGCAAGUCGAACGGUAACGGGCCUUCGGGUGCCGACGAGUGGCGAACGGGUGAGUAAUACAUCGGAACGUGCCCGAUCGUGGGGGAUAACGAGGCGAAAGCUUUGCUAAUACCGCAUACGAUCUACGGAUGAAAGCAGGGGACCGCAAGGCCUUGCGCGGACGGAGCGGUCGAUGGCAGAUUAGGUAGUUGGUGGGAUAAAAGCUUACCAAGCCGACGAUCUGUAGCUGGUCUGAGAGGAUGAUCAGCCACACUGGGACUGAGACACGGCCCAGACUCCUACGGGAGGCAGCAGUGGGGAAUUUUGGACAAUGGGCGCAAGCCUGAUCCAGCCAUGCCGCGUGCAGGAUGAAGGCCUUCGGGUUGUAAACUGCUUUUGUACGGAACGAAAAGCCUUCUUUUAAUACAGGAGGGUCAUGACGGUACCGUAAGAAUAAGCACCGGCUAACUACGUG